rnacentral:rRNA from 1 species
GCUUGUCUCAAAGAUUAAGCCAUGCAUGUCUAAGUAUAAAUCUUUUACUUUGAAACUGCGAACGGCUCAUUAUAUCAGUUAUAGUUUAUUUGAUAGUCCCUUACUACAUGGAUAACCGUAGUAAUUCUAGAGCUAAUACAUGCACAAAGGCCCGACUCACGAAGGGCUGUAUUUAUUAGAUUUAAAGCCGACAUCUUUUGGUGAUUCAUAAUAACUUUUCGAACCUCAUGCCUUUAUGGUGGAGGUGAUUCAUUCAAAUUUCUGCCCUAUCAACUUUCGAUGGUAGGAUAGAG